AGGGGCGUAGCUCAACGGGUAGAGCACCGGUCUCCAAAACCGAAGGUUGCAGGUUCGAGUCCUGUCGCCCCUG
rnacentral:tRNA from 1 species